rnacentral:lncRNA from 1 species
GGAAAGCAAGGGGUCGAAUGCCCUAGAUCGAGUUGUGUGUGUGGUUCUAAUGGGUUGAGGUUUGUUGUCGUCUGUAGAGCUUAGGCUGUAGUUGUAGUGCCGACAUUUCCGAAGCAAUCAGGUGUGUGUUCUAACCCUACGUGACUUGUGUGGGUAUGAUGAUACUUGAAUUUUUUUAUGCCUUAUUUGAAAUCAUUCGAUUUUGAUCUGUGUCUUUCUGGCAAUGGUUGAAUGUAAGUAUCCCCUAACUGUGAAAUUCAGCGUUAGCCGAUUAACUAUGGGUGUGGUUCUAUUAUGGAAAGAUAUAGGUAAGUGAGUCGGGUUUCAUGAUCAAAGGUGAGCAUGCCCUAGUUUGGCUUAACCCAAUGCAUAUGUGGCCCUAAUUGUGUUGCUGAAUGUGAUAUUUUCCUAUUUUUGUGUUGACCGAAUAUGCCAAUGAGCAUGCUUUUGAUCUGCUAAUCAGUGUGUGCUACUAGCAUGUUUCUAAUCUCUUAUACUUGUAUAAGAGCAUGUUUGGUUUGAGUAUGCUAAGUUAUGUUAUGCCAUUUGCAUAUGCAUUGGAGUUGGGUUACGUAUGAUUUGGAAGAAAUUUUGGUCGACUACUAUUUGCUAUUUUGGCGAUUUACUCGCAAAUCUGAUUUUGGUAGUUGAACUGCAUUAUCUGUUUUUGGCAAUAUUUUCACAUUAUAUUAGGCAGCUUGUCUACAUAACAUUUUGGUGGCUUAUAACUACAAUUUUGGUGUGUUGGUUGGAUGGGUUUCUAAUAACUUUAUUUUAUGUGUUGGAUGGACGGAGAUUGUGUGUAAUGACUAAGGGUAGGAUUUGUUUUGAACAUUGCUAUGCUUUGCUAAGCAUGCCUUGCCUUAUGUUAUCUGCUUGAUAUGUUAUAAUAUGUGCUUCAAUUUUACUAUUUUUGUUAUGUUUUGGGCUAUGACGCACACUGGGCUUUUAGCUCACUCUGUUAUUUUAUUUUCUCAGAUAAUCAUAAGGAUUAAGAUUAGGUAGCGCUCGGGAGCUCUGAUUCGGAUUCUCAAAAUGAAUUGGUUUUAAUUAAUUCUUUAAGUAUGGGCUUUUGGACUUUCAUUUAUCUUUAUGGACUUUAAUUUUGGUUUUGGACUUUGACACUUGGCUUAGUAAGUUUUAAACGAGAAACGUGAUUUUUUUCUAAUAAUUAAAUAAGGUAACCAUGCACAAAAUAUUUAUAAGUCACUAGUUUUUUCGCUGCAAGUUCAAAACACAGAAAUGAGUUUUCUGAAAAAUAUCUAAG